AAACUGGAGCUGCAGCUCCGUCCCCGACCGGAAAUCGCCUCCAAAAUUCGUCCGGCCAUUUCUUCCUCCUCCGGCCACCAAUUCUCACCAAACUUCUUUCAUUGGCUUCGCCUCGUCCUUUCGCACCCGUCUGUGGUGGCCAUUCACGGCGGCACGUCCUGUAGCGGCGGCGGUGAUCUUGUUUCGAUUUAAGCUCGAUUUUAGUCAACGCCGGUUUUCUCCUAACUCCGGCCACCAAAACUUCUGAUCCUUAGCUCCAUGAACUCACCUCAACCUGAUGAUCAUCAUACUAGAAGGAUUUCACCUGGAGUGACCGGUUUCAAGUUCGUCGGAGCUCGGUCUGUUUUCGAUCCGAAACGAAAAUCUUUCGAUCGGGAUAUCUCGGGCUGUAGUGCAUCGUUUUGAUUGAUUCUUGAUCCAGUGGGUUCUCCUUGAUGUUCUUAACAACUCCUAGAAGGAAUCGAGGCCUGAAAUUGAGUUUUUUACGUCGAAAAUCGAGCUCGCCGGUUUCUGGACAUUUUCCGGCCACCUUCAUACUGUUCAAGGUGAUUGACGGUCUUCCUUGGUGAGCGGUUUUGGCGUGUUUUGUGAAAUUGAAGACGCUGCGGGAUUAGAGCGGGUAAUCUUGCAGGUUAGGAGAAUCAGGACGGUGAUCGUGCGGGUUAGAGUAAUCGUUGUAGUUUUACAAUGAUUGUAUUAGUGAGGUGAGUGAUUCUCAAUUUGAGCUUUACAUAUUUACUUUGUAUAAGUGAGUUGUAAUAAUUAAUUUGAGAUUUGAAAUUGAGUGACUUGUGUUCUAGUUGAUUUUUCAUGUCUCGGAUUUUGAAUUAGUUAUUCAAAAUUUGGGGCGUGACAAAUUUGCUCACCUAAGAGACUGUUUUAAGGGACAUUGAGGGACAAAUGCAUCUCUUAGAUGUACUAAAUAUAAAAACAGAAACUAUUACAA